ACUCACAACAAACAUGGCGGCUGCGGUGGGUGUUGGGAGCGGUGGGGUAACGGGGAGGUGAGUGAUGCUCCCGCCCCGUAGCUCAGGAGCCGGGCUAUGGGGGUGGGUGAGAGCCGCCCAGUGCCCUCAUCCCCCAGGGGCCGCCGUCGCCUGUGACUAGUCCCUUGUCUUGUCCACCCAGGCCCGAGGCCCUGUCGUCGGGGAGCAGGAGGCUGCAGUGGGGCUGGGGCCGAGGGCGGAAGCAGUGACACCUCCCCGCCCUGCAGAGGUGGACCCUGGGGGGCAGUGGGUCUUCUCUUCUCCCUCCAGGAGCCAUCACCAAAUGGAACACACGUUAACUUAAACCUAGAGGAAGCUGAUGACAUCUGAAAGAGGGGAAAGUGGGGUAGCUGUGCUCCCUUGCUUUCUGUCUGACCUACUGGGCGUACAGGUUGGAGUAUGUUUGCUACUUAGCAGGAAACUGAAAUUCAGGCACACAUUUU
rnacentral:lncRNA from 1 species